rnacentral:rRNA from 1 species
GUGGGGAAUAUUGGACAAUGGGCGCAAGCCUGAUCCAGCCAUGCCGCGUGAGCGAUGAAGGCCUUAGGGUUGUAAAGCUCUUUCAGUGGGGACGAUAAUGACGGUACCCACAGAAGAAGCCCCGGCUAACUUCGUGCCAGCAGCCGCGGUAAUACGAAGGGGGCUAGCGUUGUUCGGAUUUACUGGGCGUAAAGCGCACGUAGGCGGAUCGUUAAGUCGGGGGUGAAAUCCUGGAGCUCAACUCCAGAACUGCCUUCGAUACUGGCGAUCUUGAGUCCGGAAGAGGUGAGUGGAACUCCUAGUGUAGAGGUGGAAUUCGUAGAUAUUAGGAAGAACACCAGUGGCGAAGGCGGCUCACUGGUCCGGUACUGACGCUGAGGUGCGAAAGCGUGGGGAGCAAACAGGAUUAGAUACCCUUGUAGUCC